GAUGAACGCUGGCGGCGUGCUUAACACAUGCAAGUCGAACGAAGCACUUUAUUUGAUUUCCUUCGGGACUGAUUAUUUUGUGACUGAGUGGCGGACGGGUGAGUAGCGCGUGGGUAACCUGCCUUGUACAGGGGGAUAACAGUUGGAAACGGCUGCUAAUACCGCAUAAGCGCACAGCAUCGCAUGAUGCAGUGUGAAAAACUCCGGUGGUAUAAGAUGGACCCGCGUUGGAUUAGCUAGUUGGUGAGGUAACGGCCCACCAAGGCGACGAUCCAUAGCCGACCUGAGAGGGUGACCGGCCACAUUGGGACUGAGACACGGCCCAAACUCCUACGGGAGGCAGCAGUGGGGAAUAUUGCACAAUGGGCGAAAGCCUGAUGCAGCGACGCCGCGUGAGCGAAGAAGUAUUUCGGUAUGUAAAGCUCUAUCAGCAGGGAAGAUAAUGACGGUACCUGACUAAGAAGCACCGGCUAAAUACGUG
rnacentral:rRNA from 1 species